UGUCUGGUGGGUAGUUUGACUGGGGCGGUCUCCUCCUAAAGAGUAACGGAGGAGCACGAAGGUUGGCUAAUCCUGGUCGGACAUCAGGAGGUUAGUGCAAUGGCAUAAGCCAGCUUGACUGCGAGCGUGACGGCGCGAGCAGGUGCGAAAGCAGGUCAUAGUGAUCCGGUGGUUCUGAAUGGAAGGGCCAUCGCUCAACGGAUAAAAGGUACUCCGGGGAUAACAGGCUGAUACCGCCCAAGAGUUCAUAUCGACGGCGGUGUUUGGCACCUCGAUGUCGGCUCAUCACAUCCUGGGGCUGAAGUAGGUCCCAAGGGUAUGGCUGUUCGCCAUUUAAAGUGGUACGCGAGCUGGGUUUAGAACGUCGUGAGACAGUUCGGUCCCUAUCUGCCGUGGGCGCUGGAGAACUGAGGGGGGCUGCUCCUAGUACGAGAGGACCGGAGUGGACGCAUCACUGGUGUUCGGGUUGUCAUGCCAAUGGCACUGCCCGGUAGCUAAAUGCGGAAGAGAUAAGUGCUGAAAGCAUCUAAGCACGAAACUUGCCCCGAGAUGAGUUCUCCCUGACUCCUUGAGAGUCCUGAAGGAACGUUGAAGACGACGACGUUGAUAGGCCGGGUGUGUAAGCGCAGCGAUGCGUUGAGCUAACCGGUACUAAUGAACCGUGAGGCUUAACCUU
rnacentral:rRNA from 1 species